rnacentral:tRNA from 1 species
GGUUGCGAGCCAGGGAUAAGCUAGGCGGGUCUGUAAAACCCUACCUUGGGAGUUCGAAUCUCCCCGCAACCAC